rnacentral:rRNA from 1 species
GACGUAGGGCGCGAGCGUUGUCCGGAUUUAUUGGGCGUAAAGAGCGUGUAGGCGGCCAGGUAGGUCUGCUGUGAAAACUCGAGGCUCAACCUCGAGACGUCGGCGGAAACCAUCUGGCUAGAGUCCGGAAGAGGAGAGUGGAAUUCCUGGUGUAGCGGUGAAAUGCGCAGAUAUCAGGAAGAACACCCGUGGCGGAAGGCGGCUCUCGUGGGACGGUACUGACGCUGAGACGCGAAAGCGUGGGGAGCGAACAGG